GUAAAAGGUAGAAGGUGAUGCCAUUUGUGUCACCCCUAUUCCCCCAAGCAUUAAUGAUCUUUGCUACAAUGGCCCUUGUUUCCUUCUACAGGGUAGUAAAAGCUUGAGCUUCAACCAAACCGCCCCUCAAAUCCCAAGAACAUCAAAGACCCAUUGUUAUUUUGCUCUGAUCUUCAAUGGGUAUUCCGUAAUCCUCGCUCCCAUUUCAAAAUUUCUCGUGAACUUCAAGGCUUCCUACGCUUCUUCUCCACUCCACUUCACAGGCGGAUACGGAAGAGUGGGUUUGAAACUUUUCGAGUGUUGUUGUUUAUGAAAGGUACUGCUGAGUUUACAUAGUGCUUUGCUUUUUGGCUGUGCACUGUGUAGAGAUUGAGGUUGAAAAAUAGCAUACUUUUGUGAGUACUGUAAA